CACGGGGGGAACGCGAAGAACCUUACCAAGGCUUGACAUGGACCGGACCGCCGCAGAAAUGUGGUUUCCCCUUUGGGGCCGGUUCACAGGUGGUGCAUGGUUGUCGUCAGCUCGUGUCGUGAGAUGUUGGGUUAAGUCCCGCAACGAGCGCAACCCUCGUUCUAUGUUGCCAGCGCGUUAUGGCGGGGACUCAUAGGAGACUGCCGGGGUCAACUCGGAGGAAGGUGGGGACGACGUCAAAUCAUCAUGCCCCUUAUGUCUUGGGCUUCACGCAUGCUACAAUGGCCGGUACAAAGGGUUGCGAUACUGUGAGGUGGAGCUAAUCCCAAAAAGCCGGUCUCAGUUCGGAUUGGGGUCUGCAACUCGACCCCAUGAAGUCGGAGUCGCUAGUAAUCGCAGAUCAGCAACGCUGCGGUGAAUACGUUCCCGGGUCUUGUACACACGC
rnacentral:rRNA from 1 species